ensembl:lncRNA
AUUUUUUGGGAAUUUUUGGGAAUAUUUUUGGGAAUUUUUUGGAAUUUUUUGGUGAAUUUUUUGGGAAUUUUUGGGUUCAUUUCGGGCGAUUUUGGGGUCAUUUCCGGUCCCCUCCCCCCACAAACUCAGCCCCAGCCGCCGGCGCUGACUCAGCGUUUAUUGACACCACGUGACCCGGGAGGGGGCGUGGCCACGCACAAACCACGCCCACAACCCCUAAAUCCCACCCGCUUCCGCAAAAGGGGGGCGGGGCUUACGCCGUACCCGUGGGGGCGGGGCUGUGACGUCGCUGGUGACGCCUCAGCCCCGCCCCCGAGGCGAAGCUCCGCCCACAGAGCGCGCAGGAAAAGGGGCGUGGCCCCGCCGCCAUCUUGGAUCCGGCGGCCACGUCGAGCUCCGCCACGUUGGCGUCCGCCAUGUUGUUUUCCAAAAUGGCGGCCACGCCGGCGUCGGCCAUUUUCUUUUCCAAGGCCGGGAUUCCCGCCAUAUUUGCGGCGGCCAUCUUGUUUUCCAAAAUGGCGGCCAUAUUGGUGGCGGCCAUAUUGGUGGCAGCCAUAUUGGUGGCGGCCAUAUUGUUUCGCCCAACAACCGCCAUAUUUCCGGCGGCCAUAUUGCUCCCACCGGCGGCCAUAUUGCUCCCACCGGCCGCCAUAUUGUUUCCCCCAACAACCGCCAUAUUGCCGGCGGCCAUAUUACUCCCACCGGCGGCCAUAUUAUUCCCACUGGCGGCCAUAUUGCUCCCACUGGCGGCCAUAUUGUUUCCCCCAACAACCGCCAUAUUGCUGGUGGCCAUAUUGCUGCCACUGGCGGC